rnacentral:rRNA from 1 species
UACGUAGGUGGCAAGCGUUGUCCGGAAUUAUUGGGCGUAAAGAGCUCGUAGGCGGUCUGUUGCGUCCGCUGUGAAAUCUCGGAGCUUAACUCCGAAACUGCAUUCGAUACUGCCGUGCUUGAGGACUGGAGAGGAGACUGGAAUUUACGGUGUAGCGGUGAAAUGCGUAGAUAUCGUAAGGAAGACCAGUGGCGAAGGCGGGUCUCUGGACAGUUCCUGACGCUGAGGCACGAAGGUCAGGGGAGCAAACGGG